AGCAGCCGCGGUAAUUCCAGCUCCAAUAGCGUAUAUUAAAGUUGUUGCAGUUAAAAGCUCGUAGUUGAAUUUCGGGAUCAAUACGUCGGUCGUGCUUCGGUACGUACUGGCGUCAUUGAUUUCUCCCUUCUGACGAACCAUGAUGUCAUUAACUUGGUGUCAUGGGAAAUCAGGACUGUUACUUUGAAAAAAUUAGAGUGUUUAAAGCAAGCUCGCGCUUGAAUACAUUAGCAUGGAAUAAUGAAAUAGGACGUUUGAUUCUAUUUUGUUGGUUUCUAGGAUCGACGUAAUGAUUAAUAGGGAUAGUUGGGGGCAUUAGUAUUCAAUUGUCAGAGGUGAAAUUCUUGGAUUUAUUGAAGACUAACUACUGCGAAAGCAUUUGCCAAGGAUGUUUUCAUUAAUCAAGAACGAAAGUUAGGGGAUCGAAGACGAUCAGAUACCGUCGUAGUCUUAACCAUAAACUAUGCCGACUAGGGAUCGGAUGAUGUUAAUUUUUUCAAUGACUCAUUCGGCGCCUUAC
rnacentral:rRNA from 1 species